GUAAUGUCGGAGACGCGAGAGGUCGACGACAUUACGGAAGCGGGGAAUACCGGGAGGCUUCCUCCCUAGGAUCGCUUGCGCUACCUUAUGCCGGCUUGGAUCUCUGUAGUGGAGCGUACGAGCGGAUGAGGGAUAGUCUAGCGACGGACGGUCCUCUGUAAAGGACAAGGCUCGCGAAGGCAAGUGUGCCGAGCGGGGAUUCGUGGGGCGCGGCGCCCACAAAGGCCAAAGAGGCGGGACUCAAUAGGAACGGUAAAAGGAGGCACGCCGAGGGAGAAUUCGUAAGGUGGGUGGCCUACGAGACUCGAGGGGCGGAACCCAAUGAGGCAAGCGGUAUCGGUAUCCGUAUAGUGAACCUUGAUGGACUGGACCAAUGGUGUGAGCGGCCAGGCGUGGCCGAGCCAAAGACGUGGCCAGUGGCUAGCGAUGCGGGGCGAGGCCGGUUCGUUUGUAUAGGGCCUUAUGAGGCGAACCUACGGGAGUCAAGGGCGCGGAGCGCCGUGGCAAAGCGAGGGUCGUCGAGACGGUCGAGAAGAACGGUGUGGACUUGUUGGUUCCCUUGUCAUGAGCGAUAGGACACGAGGGCCGCACGGGUCGAAUGCGAAGCACGGAGGUGCGAAGCAUGGACGUGCUGGGUGUCACACUGAGGUGCUGAUGUUGGGGACAAGUGUUAAGGAUUUUAUAGGUUGGCGUAUUUCGUAAAGUUGAAUGGAGUCUUGAAGAGUUGAUUGCAGAAGUUUUGAAGAAAAGAUUCAAAUAGAAGAACAAAGACUUAUUCGGAAAGCUCGGCGCUUCAGGUAUGGAGAAAAGAUCAUUUAUGGUGAAGGUACUUAAUUGGAAUAAGUUCAGAAGGUUU
rnacentral:lncRNA from 1 species